rnacentral:lncRNA from 1 species
UGCAAGCGGACUUCAGUCGAGCUUCUGCAAUAAGCGGUCUCCACCCGGGCUUCCACGGCAAUCGGUCUCCAUCCGAGCUUCUACAGUAAGCGGCCUCCUUCCAGACACCACUUCACUCCCUGUAACAAGCUCCACGUGGCCCCACCACUCUCCAGCAGGUCGCGACAACAGACACCACUACUCUCCAUAACAAACUCCACGUGGCCCCGAAUGGCCCACUACCAGGCAGUUGCGGACGUUGCUGUCAAUCGAUUAUGCUCUCCCAUCUAUAAAAGAGACCCCC